rnacentral:rRNA from 1 species
GACGUAGGGGGCGAGCGUUGUCCGGAUUCACUGGGCGUAAAGCGCGCGUAGGCGGCUCGUUAAGUCGGAUGUGAAAACCCGGGGCUCAACCCCGGGCCUGCACCCGAUACUGGCGGGCUGGAGGCAGGUAGGGGAGAUCGGAAUUCCCGGUGUAGCGGUGAAAUGCGCAGAUAUCAGGAGGAACACCGAUGGCGAAGGCAGGUCUCUGGGCCACUACUGACGCUGAGAAGCGAAAGCAUGGGGAGCGAACAGG